AUACGUAGGGGGCGAGCGUUGUCCGGAAUGAUUGGGCGUAAAGGGCGCGUAGGCGGCGCGGUAAGUCUGGAGUGAAAGUCCUGCUUUCAAGGUGGGAAUUGCUUUGGAUACUGCCGCGCUUGAGUGCAGGAGAGGUUAUCGGAAUUCCCGGUGUAGCGGUGAAAUGCGUAGAGAUCGGGAGGAACACCAGUGGCGAAGGCGGGUAACUGGACUGCAACUGACGCUGAGGCGCGAAAGUGUGGGGAGCAAACAGGAUUAGAUACCCUGGUAGUCCACGCGGUAAACGAUGAAUGCUAGGUGUUGCGGGUAUCGACCCCUGCAGUGCCGGAGUAAACACAAUAAGCAUUCCGCCUGGGGAGUACGGCCGCAAGGUUGAAACUCAAAGGAAUUGACGGGG
rnacentral:rRNA from 1 species